UCGAGGAUCUUCGGCAAUGGGCGAAAGCCUGACCGAGCGACGCCGCGUGUGGGAUGAAGGCCUUCGGGUUGUAAACCACUGUCAACGGGGAGGAAAUGCAGGAGGGUACUCCCUCCUGUUUGACCUAUCUGUGGAGGAAGUACGGGCUAAGUUCGUGCCAGCAGCCGCGGUAAGACGAACCGUACAAACGUUAUUCGGAAUCACUGGGCUUAAAGGGGGCGUAGGCUGCGCGGUAAGUUGGGUGGGAAA
rnacentral:rRNA from 2 species